GAUGAACGCUGGCGGCGUGCCUAAUACAUGCAAGUCGAGCGAACAGACGAGGAGCUUGCUCCUCUGACGUUAGCGGCGGACGGGUGAGUAACACGUGGAUAACCUACCUAUAAGACUGGGAUAACUUCGGGAAACCGGAGCUAAUACCGGAUAACAUGUUGAACCGCAUGGUUUAACAGUGAAAGACGGUCUUGCUGUCACUUAUAGAUGGAUCCGCGCCGCAUUAGCUAGUUGGUAAGGUAACGGCUUACCAAGGCAACGAUGCGUAGCCGACCUGAGAGGGUGAUCGGCCACACUGGAACUGAGACACGGUCCAGACUCCUACGGGAGGCAGCAGUAGGGAAUCUUCCGCAAUGGGCGAAAGCCUGACGGAGCAACGCCGCGUGAGUGAAGAAGGUCUUCGGUUCGUAAAACUCUGUUAUUAGGGAAGAACAAAUGUGUAAGUAACUAUGCACGUCUUGACGGUACCUAAUCAGAAAGCCACGGCUAACUACGUG
rnacentral:rRNA from 1 species